UACGGAGGAUCCAAGCGUUAUCCGGAUUCAUUGGGCUUAAAGGGCGCGUAGGCGGUUCGAUAAGUCCCGUGUGAAAGCCCCCGGCUCAACUGGGGAACUGCACGGGAAACUGACGGACUUGAGUUCGGGAGAGGGAAGCGGAAUUCCGGGUGUAGCGGUGAAAUGCGUAGAUAUCCGGAGGAACACCGGUGGCGAAGGCGGCUUCCUGGACCGACACUGACGCUGAGGCGCGAAAGCUAGGGGAGCAAACGGG
rnacentral:rRNA from 1 species